rnacentral:lncRNA from 1 species
CUGAUAUUAUUGUAGUUGACUAAUAAUCAGUACUAAAAUAUAAAUUUGAAAGUACGCAGUGCAUAUUGAUUAAGAUAAAAUCUGAAAUAUAUUUGUAGGGCGAACAUGAGAUCGUGUGUGGUGAAAAUGAGGCGACUGGAGAGGCAGCAAAGUGGCGGAGACUUGACGUUCAACGAUGAUUGAAGUGUGGACGUGCAGAUGUCCCGGUGGAGUAAAAGACUUUAGUACUAGAAAGACCAAGUAGUUAUGGAGCUAAUCGACCCGAGGCAAGUGAUAAGUAGCAGAGCGUGGCCUGUUGUGGGACAAGACGCGCGUCUAGCAGAUGUUUGGUGCUGCAAGUUAUAAAAUAUCUUCCUGAAGGCUGUUGGUUGCUUUCUUCUUGUACACAAGAGGCGUGGAUAGAUUCGAGCCGUCCCUUCUACAGAGUAAAGGAGUCGUGAGAAGAGCAUCAGGUCGAAUGUGGUGAAGUUGACCCAUCAAAGUGACGGGAGACGUGACGUUCAGAGAUGAAUGCAGUGUGGAGGAGGCGGCCGACAUGUCGAGGGAAGAAUACUUUAUUGGUAGAGAGAAGAGCAAGGAGUGAUAACCCUGGAAACACAAACGGGAAAAGUUUCUAUGUUCCGCUUGUUACAACUUGCUAUAUUGGUUGUUUUAGGUGGUUAGGUGUUAAAAGUUGUACCAACGUGGUAGUUUUGCGGGAAGAUUAUAAAGUAGAGUUAUGAAUAAGGUACUUUAGACCAAAUGUAGGAUAUGGACAUAGGAAAUCUGUAGGGUUGAGGGAUAGAAUUUUUUGUUUGUGUUAAUAAAUGUGGUUAAAGCAUAUGGGUUAACUAAGCCCUAUAAGUGCUAGUUUAGUAUGUUGUCAUGUUAACACUAUAUAUUUAGUAUGAGGUAAUCGGAGGGUAUGAACACACAGGUUGUAAAUAACGGUAGUAAACAUGUUUCGGAAAGUGAUGUAGAAUUAAAAUCUGAUGUGGUUCCAUCCGAAAUUGAGAGAAUCGUUUGAAUGACAUGUAAUAAAAAUCCUGUUAAAUCACAAAGUAACGUAUGCUGGCAUUUGACCGUGUACAAACUGCAUGAAAAUAUUGAUUAAGAUGGCGUUGACACGUCCCACAAAUGAGUGCAAAAUAUUAGAGAUGAAUGUGAAUUGGUUGUUAAAUAACAUGUAGAUAUUGAAUGUGCAAAUACCAAUUGUGACUUUUUGUUAAAUGACAAGUAGUGGGCAGAUAGGUGUGAAAAUUUGCAUACCAGGAAAUUAGUUAGUGAGGAAUACAGGAGUGUAAUGAGUUUGGGUAGCGAUGCAUGGUAAAAUAAGGAUAAAUUAGUUGAUCACUUGCUCCUCAGGAAAUGGUGUGAUGUAUAACAAGAAUAUUAUGUAGUGAUGCAAUAGGAAAUGUUGUAUAUGUAUAUAUGUGUAGAGUAGGCGCACUUGAAAGAAUUGUUUUUGGGGGAAAAAUGUUUGAAAAUUAGGCAGGUAUAAAGGGGAAAAGUCAAUAUGCGUCAUUCUCGACUAGUUUUUGAAUGACAGCAUUGGAUAGGAGAAAAAGAAUAUUAUUUGUUUACGUUGGGAAGUGAAAAUGUAGUUCAGGAAGAGGAGUCUGAAAAUGAGAGAUUUGUGCGAUAUGUAGAAAAAGGGAAAAAUGUUGUUUGUGCACUGAUCAUGAUUGGUGUGAAAUAUAAGUGAAAAAUUAUCUUCAUUGUGAAGAAAAAAAAUUUAGUUGUGUGUCAGCAGGUGAAACAUGGCUGUUGAAUUGCAAUAAAAACACCAAUAGAAUAUUAAAGGUUUCAGUUGCAAUUAUUGUAUUCAGUUAGUGAAGAGAUUUGAUUUGAAAGUCAUGAUUUCAUAGAUAUAAAUAUAAUGUGCUAGUCAUGAUUGUGGGUAGCGGGUGACAAGGUACAGUGGGAGCAAAGGUUUGAAAAAUGUAAGAGCAUAUAGAAGGAAAAUAGAUGGAGAAUGUGAAGUAUGGUUGGCUGAUGAAUUGAUUUAAAUAUGCAUAUUUUCGCAAAGUAGGUGCAAACCGUUUUUGAAGAAAUUGCAUGUAAAGGGGAACGAGUCAGAGACCGAAGUAAGAGGCUUGGCCCGGUCGACGAGGCCUCGUGGCUGUUAGAUGCGGGUGCUCGCAGCCUGGUUGAUCCAGUUCUCUCUAACAGUGUGAUUGUUCGGCCAGUUAUGCCCCUUGUGUGUAGUGGAAGCGUGUUGAACAGUCUCGGGCCUCUGAAGUUGAUAGUAGGUGUUGCACCUCUGCUUUUGAAUGUUUUUUUCAAACAUCAUGGCCCCUAGGCGAUGGUGUUUGCAACCUUGACGAAAGGAGGGAAUCAAGUAAUAAUUGAUGAAUGUGGAUGGUGCAUUAGCGUACAAUAUAGGUAGGGCAGGCAUAUAAGCGUCAUUUUUAGUUGUGUGGGUGAAGUAUGAAAUGUAUAACGUAUUUACAUGUCUUGUAGAGAAGAAAAUAUUUUGUAUCGAAAUGUGAUUGAUGGAUAUUGUGAGUGAUAUUAUUAUGGAUGGGUAUCCAAAGUACAUAUAGCGGGCGGAAGGUUGGGUAGUAUUCGUGAAAUAAGAAAUGGUGAAGGAAGUAAAAUUUGUAAUUACGCACUAAUGGGAAGAGGGGCACAGAAAAAUGAGAAAUGGACAAGGGCCGUGAGAAAGACUUGAAUGUGCGUCGUAGAGCAUCCGAGACAGUGCCUUAAUGGAGUGACGGUGGUUUGUGGCUGUGAGAGGCUUCAGGGAGUUAUGUUGUACUCGUUGUACCAUGUCGAUUAAGGUAGCGUCGCAUCGUUGUCACGGCCCUUGUGCAUUUAUUAAUGGGGCGCGAGGGCAAUGAAUAUGGAUGUGUUAUUUAAGAAUGCAAUAAGAUUGAGGUGUAGUAAUGUUGACAGAUAAAUAUUUGUUGAAGUUGAUUAGAGGAAAUGAUGUACAAUGAGCGUAUGGUAGAGGGCUGAUUAACUUAAAUCGUGAUAAGAAUAUAAUUUGUGUUGCAGGACUCGUGGGCCGUCUGGGAGAAGGAGCAGCCAACAGGUGGUACGGGCGUGAAGUUGAUGACCUGUAUUUUUUGUAGUACAAAGACAUAUUUGAUAAAUCGAAUGUUCGUUGCGUUAUUAGAGUAAAAGGUGUUCGUGUGUUAUUUGUUGAAGUUAAAUGUGUGGGGGGGGGGGGGGAGUAGUUUGGUGUGUAAGGUUGAAGGAUUGCGUGGUACAUUAGUUUUGAAGGUGUUGGUGUGCGUAAAAAGUCAAACAAUUUAGGUUAGGUGAAUAGAACAGUUUGAAUUGGUGAAAUUAAGAAAACGAAUUGUUUGUAUAGGCCUUUAUGAGAUACUGUUAUUUGAAGUAUAUAUAAGGGGAAACUGUGAGUAAAUGUUUAGUUUGAGGUUCACGUAGUAAGAAAUGAAUGACGUUAGCGUUUGAUUAUGGAGAAAGGUAAUGGUGAAUGAAAUGAAAAUGUUGGUGACAUCGUGCGGCAGGCUACGUGAAGAGCCGUAUAGUAUAGGUAGCGGAAUUGAGUGUUUUGCUGGACGGGUUGAAAGUGUGGGCAAAAUGUAAAUAGUUUGUAGUAAUGGUUAAGAGUGAAUAUUAGGUUUACACGAGGGAAAUAUUGCAUGACUGAAGAUGGUGGGCGGAGUGUUUGGUUGAUAUAAUAUUAGUUAUAGAGGUGGUUGUUAAUAAACUUUCAGUGAGAUACUAUAUUGUUGGCUAUGUAAAGGUGUUGAUUUGGAAAUAAUAGCAACAAACUGUAAUUAGAAUAGACCGGAUGAGUAUGCAUGUAUAGACGGCAUAAAUUGAAAAUGUUACCCGUACCUUGCAUAAGUGUAGCUGAGGGACAGUAGUAGUGUAUAUAAACUAGAUGAUCGGCGACAUGAAGUGUCUGGUGAUGAGAAUUUAGUCGAAGGUUAAUGAAUGAGUUUGGAAGAUGUUUUAUGGGUGGCACGUGUUUAUAAUACUGGUUGAAUUUGAGGGUUUUCCAUGUAAGGAGUAAAAGAAUGAGGGGUCAUGGCGUGAGUAGGUUUUGAUAGUCUACAAGAGUAAAUGUUAGAAUAAAAAUGUGAUGUUGGUAGUAUUUUGUGGAAUAAAGUUUGUUGUAAGAAGUAAAUGAGUAGACAUUGUGAGUGUUGAAAGUAAGACGAAAGUUCGUAUAGAAAUGUAAUGUCUGCAGGGAUUAGCGUUUAAAAAUAGUAGAGUGGAACAUGGAGUGAAUAAAAUGAGAAAAUAGAGUAAUAAGGGUUAUGUAUGAGGUUGAUAUGAAAUAAGGUGAAAAUGAGAUAGUAGGGAAUAUGGUAUUUGUAAGAUAUGUUUAAAUGAAAGUUAGCGUUGCAGAGAAUAGUAGUGCAUUGGCUAGUUUGAUGGUUAAGGUAAAAUUUGCAGUGCAUGUAAUAGUUGAAAAGAAGGUAUUAAGAUGUUUGGUAUUUGCACGAAUGAAUUUCGAUAGUUAGGCAUGUGGUCGAAGAAAUGACAAAUAGUAAUGAAGGUUGGUAUGUUACAUAGGAAAUAUUGGGCUUUGAGUAAAUUGUGAAGACGAUGACUAAGUAAAGAGAAUGUUAGGGGUCUUACUUUGUCAUUUUUGUUACUUGUCUGUCAAGAUGGUUAGUGUACUUAAUUUUAAUAGAAUUAUAUGAUGAGUACUAGUUUCGGGUUUCGUUAAAUGUAGUGAUUAUGCGGUCAUUGAAAUAAACGUUGCAACAUGUUUGUACGAGAAAUAUAUUUAGUAUUGUUGAAUAAUAAAAUAUUUGUUAUAGAUAUGGAGUUGUGAUGAGAGAAUAAAGUAGAUGAUUGAUGUGUAAGACAGCGACGUCUCAGAGAGUGUAAUGUAUACCAUUUCAUUGUGCACUUGUCCAAUAGAGAGGAAAAGAAAGAUGGUAAAUGUAUUAUGUUAGCGAGUAGUGAUAAAAAGAAACAGGUCGAAAAUCCGUCUUUAUGCACAUUGUUUGUGACAUUAUGUGUGUCCUUAAAGGAACCUCACAUGACGCAUAUACUGUCACAAGGAAAUAUAAGAUGAUUUUGUUGGCUAUUAAUUUGGUGUAUUUAACGUUGAGUCAGAAAUAAAUAU